CCGAGUUUACAACUCCCAAACCCAAUGUGAACGCUACCAAACUGUUGCCUCGGCGGGGUCACGCCCCGGGUGCGUCGCAGCCCCGGAACCAGGCGCCCGCCGGAGGAACCAACCAAACUCUCUCUGCAGCCCCCUCGCGGGCGUUAUUUCUUACAGCUCUGAGCAAAAAUUCAAAAUGAAUCA
rnacentral:misc_RNA from 1 species